UGUGUGUGUGAGAGAGAGAGAGAGAGAGAGAGAGAUAGGGUUACCUAAAGGGUGAUGAUACCAUAAAGAGAAAUUGGUUACAGAGUGCUUUGUAGAAUGAAUAUUAACAUUAAAGCAAAAUACUUGAGUCUUUCCAGUUGCACCUGCAUUUCACUUCUUGCCAAUCUUUAAAUUUAACAGAUGGAAUUUUACUGUGUCAAGAAGCAUUGAAUGUUGAGCGGGAGCUAUGUCAUCCAGAUACAGAUCUCUGCAGAUUUGAUGCUACAGAUGAAGAGUUGAGAUUGUGUCAGGCCUGUGGGUUUGAAUUUGACAUGUGUGAGUGGACGUCAGAAGCCUCUGGUGGCCAAAUUUCCUGGAUGCGCACAAAAGUGAGAGAGAUCCCUGCAUUCGAAUCCACACUUCAGCAGGAUCAAGGAGGUGAUGAUGAAGGUUAUUAUGUAUGGGUAGGCGCUAAGCAUGCUUUCACUCUUAACCAUUUAGACAGCAGGGCUUACCUAAAUAGCUCUGUGUGUCAUUGCCUGGGCAAGAGCUGUCAUCUUCAAUUCUAUUAUGCAAUGGAAAGCAGUGUCCUGAGAGUAAGACUGUAUAAUAAUAAGGAAGAAGAAAUAUUUUGGACAUACAACAUAUCAACUCACAGCCAAUGGGUGAAAGCAGAUGUGUUAAUACCAGAAGAUCUGAAGACAUUUAAGAUUAUUUUUGAAGGGACUCUUUAGAGCCAGAGAAGUUUUAUUGCCCUUGAUCACCUCUGGGUCUAUGCCUGUGGACAGACCCAAUCCAGAAAGCUUUGCUCUGCAGACGAAUUCCCUUGCACUAGUGGCCAGUGCAUUGCCAAAGAAUCUGUCUGUGACUCUCGGCAGGACUGCUCCGAUGAGAGUGAUGAAGACCCAGCAACUUGCUCAAAGCAUCUCACCUGUGACUUUGAGUCGGGUUUCUGCGGUUGGGAGCCAUUUCUCACAGAAGAUUCCCACUGGAAGCUGAUGAAAGGAUUGAAUAAUGGAGAGCACCACUUUCCUGCAGCUGAUCACACAGCAAACAUAAAUCAUGGAUCGUUUAUUUAUUUCGAGGCACAGCGCUCCCCCGGGGUGGCCAAGCUUGGAAGUCCUGUUCUUACAAAAUUGCUCACUGCCUCUACCCCAUGUCAGGUGCAGUUUUGGUAUCAUUUGUCUCAACAUUCAAAUCUCUCAGUUUUUACAAGAACGUCUCUAGAUGGAAACUUGCAAAAGCAAGGCAAAAUAAUCAGAUUCUCCGAAUCUCAGUGGAGCCACGCAAAAAUUGAUCUCAUUGCAGAAGCGGGAGAAUCUACUCUACCUUUUCAGGUAAGCACAUACGAAAUUAAUACAACUCAACAGAAGACACUUAUUUAAUGCUAAUCCUUUCAGAUAACAAUGUAACACACAUAGCUCAUACCUUUUCAGGUGAGCACAUAUGAAAUUAAUACAAUGCAACAGAAGACACUUAUUUAAUGCUAAUCCUUUCAGAUAACAAAAUAACACACGCAGCUCAUGAAUUUAUUCAACAUUAAUGAAGCAAACACAUUCAGAGAUCAAACACAUGAUCUGUGAUGAGUAGAGAGGUUGUUUUGACUAUGCACUUAAGACAUGUGUAGAAUAGUAGCAAAAAUGGAGAUAAGAAAUGAAUAAGAUGGCAGAGAGAAGAGUAACUUAAAAUCAUUUCUAAGUGAAGACAUUGGAUUAUAUGAUGUAGUGAAAAAAAGUCUGACGUGGGCUGUAAUAUUUUAAUCCUAUUGCCUCACUUUCUGCUGCCUGGUAACAUUGAGAAUGUUAUCCACCUUUGGGAACUGGAGGACAUUAUGCAAAGUGAAAUAAGCCAGGCACAGAAGGACAAAUAUGGCAGGUUCUCACUCAUGUGUGGGAACUAAAAAGUUGAUCUCAUGGAGGUAGAGAGGAGAAUGGUGGUUACUAGAGGCUGAGAAAGGUGGGGAGGAGGAGGUUAGGAAGGGAGGUUUGUUAAUGGUUAAAAAAUGUAGUUAGUUAGAUAGAAGAAAUAAGCUGUAGUAUUUGAUAGCACAGUAGGGCAAUUAUAACAAGUUAUUGUGUAUUUCAAAAUAUUUAGGGGAUAAGAUUUGGAGCGUUCCCAACACAAAGAAAUGAGAAGUGUGUGAGGAGAUGGUAUCCUAAUUACCUUUAUUUGAUAGUGACACAUUAUAUGCAUGUAUCAAAAUAUCACAUUUACCCCAUAAAUAUGUACAACUACUAUGUAUUAAUAAAAUAUAAUAAUAAAAGAAGGCAAUUGUAUCUUGUCAAAUGGGUGUUCUAAUUUCUACCUUCCUGUAUAUAAGUCUUCUGGAUGACAUUUGAAAAGAGCUAUUUUGGAAACUAGAUUGGAUGGAGUGGAAUAUGGUGGAAAGCACACUGUUUUGGAGUCAGUGGUCUGAGUUUUAGUCUCUGCUCUGCUCAUUGGUUGCUAAGUGACUGUGUAAAUAUUGUCUUUGUGCAUCAAAUUUCCUAAUGUGUGAAAACCAGUGAUGAUAAAAGCAAUACUCUAGGGGAGUCUGAAUAUUAAAGAUAAUAUAGCUAAAAUGGCAGCCAUGAACGUGGGCUCUGGAAACUUGGGUUCAAGUUAAAGGGUUGGGGUUGGUGGUUCAUGCCUGUAAUCCCAGCGCUUUGGGAGGCUGAGGCGGGUGGAUCACAAGAUCAGGAGAUCGAGACCAUCCUGAGUAACACGGUGAAACCCCAACUCUACAAAAAAUACAAAAAAUUAGCCGGGCAUGGUGGCACGUGCUUGUAGUCCCAGCUACUCUGGAGGCUGAGGCAGGAGAAGCACUUGAACCUGGGAGGUGGA